ensembl:misc_RNA 7SK 7SK RNA
GGAUGUGAAGAUGAUCUGGUUGCUACAUCUGUCACUCUGUUGAUCACCAGGGUUAAUUAGGCUGAUCUGGUCAGAUAGGUGGUGUGCUCUUUCUCCCUCACUACUCCAUGUGCAGAGUUCCCAAAAAAGUGUGUUCUGUUUGAAGAGGAUGUCCUUUCCAAAUAGAAGAGAACCAGUCUUUGGUUGGGGGUAUACAAGUAACUGCAUUCCCCUGCUAGAAUCUCCAAACAUGCUCUUGAGAAAUCCCAGUGGGUUUAACUUUAAAUUUCUGAGUUAAUUUUCCCCUCUUUGCCUGAAGCAUUAAUCAAGGAAGAG